UACGUAGGGUGCGAGCGUUAAUCGGAAUUACUGGGCGUAAAGCGUGCGCAGGCGGUUUUGUAAGCCAGAUGUGAAAUCCCCGGGCUAACCUGGGAAUGGCAUUUGGGACUGCAAGGCUUGAGUGCGGCAGAGGAGACUGGAAUUCCUGGUGUAGCAGUGAAAUGCGUAGAUAUCAGGAGGAACACCGAUGGCGAAGGCAGGUCUCGUGGGCAUGACA
rnacentral:rRNA from 1 species